ensembl:lncRNA novel transcript
GCUCCCGUCCGGGGACAGCUCAGCGGCGGCAGUCAGCCCGACCCUCCUCCGCGCGGGUCGCCCAAACUUGACCAGCAGAGCGAGCGGCUCAGCGCAGUAGCCGCCUUCGCGGCUUCCAGUUGUAGAAAAGCAAAGCGCCGGGAGGAAGCAGCAGAGGGGGGGUUACAUGAGGCUGGAAAGUGGCGGGUGUACGGCGCCCGGGAUCGCCGAGGUCCUUGCGUCGCCUUGCGGAGGGACUUCGGCUAUCACAGUCGAGGGAGGUUGAAAACCCCACUUCAAAACCCGUCGGAAUGUUUUGAGAAAAUGUGGAUGGUAAUGGAGAAAUGUGAACAGAGGAGAGAAAGUAGCGGUCUUGUAAAGGAUAUACGAUAUUUUCCAAGUGGGCAGAAAGCACAGGAGGGAAAUGGCACAGUGACAAGAGGUCAGGGGAGCGGGAGAUGGAGCCAAGGGUCGGCGUUUGACGCUUACAGAGUUCUGGAAGGGAAAGGACCCUUCUAUUCCAUGCAUUCCUGCGCUGCGAUGUUUUUGUGCCACACACCAUAGCUGAAGAAGUUUCACUUAAUGCCUUACAGUAAAUUGGAAGGAAAGAAAGAAUGAGAGCAAGAAAUGUCCCAUGUCAAAAAUUCUGCUGCGUGGAGAGAAAUGGUGAAAUACAAGCGAUUUGGAGAAUGUGAGGAAGGGUUCUGAUUGGUGACUAUACUCUCAUUCUCAUUAGGAAUUCAUACACCUCUGCCUCUCUUUGAAGGUGUGUCCACACCAACUUAAAUGUAUGCAAAUCAUUUCUAAAAAGAUACCAUGUGUGGAGUUUAUAUAUCGGCACUUAAGAGUAAAAUCUGACUUUGAUACUCAUUUUGCCACUCUUACUGAUAUUGAUUGACCACAUGAGCAUUUGCAAACUCAUUUUAGAGUUUAUAAACUCAGUUACAAAAUAAAAAGACUACAUUAUCACCAUUAUAAUAUAAAUCAUUGUGUCUAAAUAAUGUUCUUAGAAAUUUCUAAUGAUUCAUUAUCUGAUAAUUUUAUUCAAAAUCUCUUUUUAUAUACUGUCAAAAAUAUGUUUCCAUGACCUUUUAUAAUUAAAUUUUCAUUUUUAAAUGUUGGCUUACAGUAAAUCUAUAAACUUCAUUAAUAAUUCACUAAAAGAAAAAUCGUUCAAGAAAGUCCUUAUAAAUUGAAGGAAUGUAUAAUAUUAUUAUUUUAAAAAUAUAAACCAUGUGAAUCUAUUUCUAUACUUUUACUUUUGAAAUUAACUAGACUUGCAAGGGAAACAUUUUUAAUGGAACAUCACCAAAAAGAAGUUAUUUCAGUAUAAUUCCUAACAUAAAAUAUUUUAAAAUCAAAGUUUAAAAUCAAGUUCUGAUGUUUUACUUGAGUGUUGCAUUUUAGAGAAUAUGUUAUAAAACACCAAGAAGUUUCACUUAAAAUUAGACUAGAAGGCAGUACUUUUAGUGGAAGGAAGGGGAAAAGGCAGAAAAAAAAAAGGAGAAAGAAAUAGAGAGGAAAACUUAGAUUCAUUUCUAGGAUUCACGCUUAGUUAGAAAUCAUAGCACAGUGCCUGAAACAUAACCUGUUACUUCAAAGUAACAAUAAUCCGCUUAAUUAACCUGAAUUUCUAGUCCCCCCAUGCACUGUACUUACAAUUCAGCUACAGUUCAUAAUUUGUAUUUGUUUAAAUGAGCCAAAGUCAAGCUUGACAUAUAUAUCUGGUUAGAUAAUUGAUAGUCAUAUUCUUGUCUUGGCUUUUAAGAAAAAAAUAUUACAAGAUUUUUCUCAAUAUUAAAACAUACUUCACAUGUUUACGUAUGUUUGGAUGCUAUCUAUUGCAUGCCUAGAAGAUAAUGACAUCUUAAGUAAAAACUCAUCUAAAAAAUGAGUUAAAAUAUGAUUAUCAUUGCCUUUGACAAUAGCAAGAUUCCAUGAGUUUGACAUGAUUAUUAAUGUUAAAACAUGAUUGUAAAAAAGAAUUACCAUGACCGUUUGACCAUUUAUAUGUUUAUAUAUAUAUGUGAUA